ensembl:lncRNA
GUGGUCAUACACACCUACCCAUGCAAUAACAAAGCAUAGAAAUAAGUGCAUGCAAGUAAGUGCCCGUAAAACUGGUGAAACCCAAACACAGCCAAUGUCAUGUUAGUUUCUCAGAUGCAGUUCUGUACUAUGUAGCUAUGCAAGAUGUUCCCGUUGCAGAAAACUAGUGAAGGCUGCUAGGACCUCUCCAUAUUACUUCUUAUUAGUGUGUGUGAACCUACAACUUUCUCCAAAUAGAAAGCUUAAAAAAUAAAUAUCACUCAGUUGUGUCCAACUCUCUGCAACCCUGUGGACUGCAGCACACCAAGCUUCCUUGCCCUUCACUAUCUCCCAGAGUUUGCUGAAAUUCAUGUUCAUUGAGUCAGUAAUGCCAUCCAACCAUCUCAUCCUCUGUCAUCCCCUUCUCCUGCUCUUGAUCUUUCCCAGCAUCAGGGUCUUUUCCAGGGAGUUAGUUCUUCACAUCAGGUGGCCAAAAUAUUAGAGCUUCAGCUUCAGCAUCAGUCCUUUCAAUGAAUAUUCAGGACUGAUUUCCUUUAGGUUGGACCGGUUAGAUAUCCUUGCAGUCUAAGGGACUCUCAAGAGUCUUCUCCAACACCACAGUUUGAAAACAUCAAUUCUUUGGUGCUCAGCUUUCUUUAUGGUCCAACUCUCACAUCCAUACAUGACUACUGGAAAAACCAUAGCUUUAACUAUAUGGACCUUUGUCGGCAAAGCAAAAAUAAGCUGCAAAGGAAAUGUCUAGAUCAAAAUGGCACCCAGUUUGAGACCCCCAAUGCUCUCCUUUCCAGCUUCUCUCUGGCAACCCCAUUUGCUCAUCCUCAGCCAGACUAUGAAGAUUAUGAUCUCUCCAUACUCACCCCUGCGCCUGGAUUGUCCUGUGUUCACCUUGUGUACUUGGGGAAUUCCUUUCCUCUGUCAACAACAUCCAAUUCUUUCUCCAGCACUAUCAACCUUGGGACGAGCCACUGUCUCUUUUCUGAACUACUGGUGUAAACUCCCUAUUACUCUCCACGUUUCACCCUUAUCACCAGUAAAUUCUGUUUUGCAUGCUGCAGCUAGGGUUCGGACCACAUCAUGCCAGAGCUGACAAUCCACCAGUGGCUCCCUUCAUGCUCUGAAUUUGUUUUAAUCCCUUACCCCAGCCCACAGGCUCUGCCUGAUUGAUCCCUGAUCGCCUUUCGUUAGCCUCACCCACUUGCCACACUCGCUUUCUUUCCAUUUGUCAAACACAUAAAACAUGUGCCAGUUUGCACACUUUUGUCCUGUUUUCUAUGCCUGGAGAAAAGUUUUCCAAAUCUUUGCAUGAUUGAUUCCUGCUUAACUUUCAGGCCUAAAAUUAAACCUCACCUCCACAGAGUGACCUUCUCUGAUCACUCAAUCUGAAGUAACUCUUAGGGUACAGUUUAUAAACAAGGCAAUUUUGCUUCUCCGUUGGCCCUUAUUUAUUGUUUUUCUCUCUCCCCGUGUGACAGCUGAGUCCUACCUGCCUAUCUACUCACACAGUGCUGUGUGCCUGGUGCCUGCAAAAACACCGGGCACAACCUCAGUAAACA